AGUGAACGCUGGCGGUAGGCCUAACACAUGCAAGUCGAACGGCAGCACAGUAAGAGCUUGCUCUUACGGGUGGCGAGUGGCGGACGGGUGAGGAAUACAUCGGAAUCUACUUUUUCGUGGGGGAGAACGUAGGGAAACUUACGCUAAUACCGCAUACGACCUACGGGUGAAAGCAGGGGAUCUUCGGACCUUGCGCGAUUGAAUGAGCCGAUGUCGGAUUAGCUAGUUGGCGGGGUAAAGGCCCACCAAGGCGACGAUCCGUAGCUGGUCUGAGAGGAUGAUCAGACGCGCUGGAACUGAGACACGGUCCAGACUCCUACGGGAGGCAGCAGUGGGGAAUAUUGGACAAUGGGCGCAAGCCUGAUCCAGCCAUACCGCGUGGGUGAAGAAGGCCUUCGGGUUGUAAAGCCCUUUUGUUGGGAAAGAAAAGCAGCAGGUUAAUACCCCGCUGUUCUGACGGUACCCAAAGAAUAAGCACCGGCUAACUUCGUG
rnacentral:rRNA from 1 species